CCCAGGGUUUGCACCCUGGGCUAGGAACGGUCGCCCCUUCGGGGCU
rnacentral:sRNA from 1 species